rnacentral:rRNA from 1 species
UACGGAGGGUGCGAGCGUUAAUCGGAAUUACUGGGCGUAAAGGGCACGCAGGCGGUUGAUUAAGUUAGGUGUGAAAUCCCCGGGCUCAACCUGGGAAUUGCACUUAAGACUGGUCAGCUUGAGUUUCGUAGAGGGGGGUAGAAUUCCACGUGUAGCGGUGAAAUGCGUAGAGAUGUGGAGGAAUACCGGUGGCGAAGGCGGCCCUCUGGACGAAGACUGACGCUCAUGUGCGAAAGCGUGGGGAGCAAACAGG